UACGUAGGGGGCGAGCGUUGUCCGGAUUUAUUGGGCGUAAAGAGCUCGUAGGCGGCUUGGCAAGUCGGGUGUGAAACCUCCAGGCUCAACCUGGAGACGCCACUCGAUACUGCCAUGGCUAGAGUCCGGUAGGGGACCACGGAAUUCCUGGUGUAGCGGUGAAAUGCGCAGAUAUCAGGAGGAACACCGGUGGCGAAGGCGGCGUUCUGGACUGCAACUGACACUGAUGAACGAAAGCCAGGGGAGCAAACGGG
rnacentral:rRNA from 1 species